GUGAUACUGCUCAAAAAUCUGAAGGAUAUUAUUGCUGCAAGUACACAGUUUGAGUAGCAGGCAUACCAUUGGAACAUACUGAUUUUACCCUUUUAUUAACAGACAGUGCCAGUCUGCUCGGUAGAUGUCGUUUCGAUGCAUGUAGGGAACUUGUACCCGUUUUGAAUCGCUUCACGGCAGCGGUGAUACUACCAGCAGGUAAUAUCGAAUCGCUUCACGGCAGCGGUGAUACUGCCAGCAGGCGCGCUAAAAUAUGUAGCUUUAAGCACUCGCAGGAAUUAUCUGUAUGUGACGCUGUAAGAGGGGUGCAGCAAUACCGGAACCGCUGCGAUUUGCCUGGUUAAUUAAUUCCCGAAUAAAAUGUGCGCUCUGUCAGUGUCAUGGACCUUAAUUCAUUCACACAAAAGCGGGACAGUAUCGCUAGUCGCAGAGAGCGUCACUUUCGGCAAUAUAAAGCGGGACAGCGACAGCGUUGCGCAAUCGAAGUAGCCAAAGCUCCGUGGAGCUAGAAGUCCAACAAAGCCACUAAAUAUGCGCGCUUGAUAAAGGGUAAUAGUAUUCCGGAUAGCAAUCCUUCGCUGUACGCUAAUAAAGUAAAAACUGCAUGAAAGUGCAGCAUCGUCAGUGGGUUACAGUAAGUAUUAAAAAAUAAGUUUCCUAACUUUGACACAUUGAUUACAAUUAAGUACAGUAUUUGCAAGAUGAACAGCAAGUACUGUGUAAUUUAUUUCUUCUAUUCCAAGAUCCCGGCACGUUGUAACAACGUUUACGUUGGCGGCAAUGUGAUACAACACAAUUUUACGGAGCUUGAGGGGCAACAAUUACGGCGAGGAAUUUAUUUCUGGCUUAAUUAGUUUCCGGAUAAACGCACUAUCAGAACCGCUAACUCAUUCACGGAAAAGCGGAAUACUGCCGUUAACGGGAAAGAAGAGAAGGCAUAGCGAUGGUUCAAUGAAAGUGGGCCACCAUCUUCCAUAUGGAGAUAACGGGGCGUGCUAUGGAAACUAGUGUCGGUUGGUACGGUACGCGAAUUUUGUACCUGUGGGUCGGUGAUCCCCUCGCCGCUUCCGGGCACGUGCUGCUGGCCCUCAGCCGCGUCUGGGCGGUGACCUUUCCCAUCUCCUACCGCAAACAUCACACGAAACGCGUGGUCAUUGCUUCCCGUAUCGUCUUGUGUGUAGUUGCGUGUGCAACCCGUCUACCGCAUUUUGUUCUGACCAUCACUGAACGCGCCGGCGCACAAGGGAAAGUGUGCGUGAUCCCAGUGCAAGUAUAUUCCUUGUUUUUCUCUAUUGCUCGAUGCAUCUCCUUAGCCAGUCUGGUCAUCGUGUUUGGGUCGGUGCCAUAUGUGCUUCUCUUGCGGCGAAUUAAAAGGAAAGAGUUAUUGUGUGUUUAACUGCUCCUGAGCCUUCAGGAAUUCGGAAACAUCCCUCAGGCCACAACGGCAGGAACGCCAUUUUCUUAAUCUCAUCAGUAAUCACUCUUGUUAUCUGGGGAUUCUCCUUGAGUGCGGGGUAUUUUUUCUCGAAUUGGCGACUGCUAACUUGAAAAGGCACGAGCUCCAGUCCAAAGAGCAGUCGGUAUCACGGAGGUGCUGCCAAAUUAAAUUAAGCUUUGAGCAGCGUAGAACGGAAGUAGGCCGCGAUGGAUGUCAAUCUGCUCAAUAAUCGCCAAGAAAACAUGUUUUUGGCAAACCGAAAACUUGUUAUUGUAAUUUGUUUUCAGCUACUGAAUUUUUGUAGCAAAUCAUAAUUCAACCUAAAAUUGUAAGUUCGAUUACACGGGCAUAUCAAAUCAGUGCUAUUCAGUCGGCACGCACAUGUGC